GACGAAGGGGGCUAGCGUUGUUCGGAAUUACUGGGCGUAAAGCGCGUGUAGGCGGUUGCCCAAGUCAGGUGUGAAAGCCUUGAGCUCAACUCAAGAAAUGCACUUGGUACUGGGUGGCUAGAGGACCGGAGAGGAUAGUGGAAUUCCCAGUGUAGUGGUGAAAUACGUAGAGAUUGGGAAGAACACCAGUGGCGAAGGCGGCUAUCUGGACGGUUACUGACGCUAAGACGCGAAAGCGUGGGGAGCGAACAGG
rnacentral:rRNA from 1 species